rnacentral:rRNA from 1 species
AUGAACGCUGGCGGCGUGCCUAAUACAUGCAAGUCGAGCGAACAGACGAGGAGCUUGCUUCUCUGACGUUAGCGGCGGACGGGUGAGUAACACGUGGAUAACCUACCUAUAAGACUGGGAUAACUUCGGGAAACCGGAGCUAAUACCGGAUAAUAUAUUGAACCGCAUGGUUCAAUAGUGAAAGACGGUUUUGCUGUCACUUAUAGAUGGAUCCGCGCCGCAUUAGCUAGUUGGUAAGGUAACGGCUUACCAAGGCAACGAUGCGUAGCCGACCUGAGAGGGUGAUCGGCCACACUGGAACUGAGACACGGUCCAGACUCCUACGGGAGGCAGCAGUAGGGAAUCUUCCGCAAUGGGCGAGAGCCUGACGGAGCAACGCCGCGUGAGUGAUGAAGGUCUUCGGAUCGUAAAACUCUGUUAUUAGGGAAGAACAAAUGUGUAAGUAACUAUGCACGUCUUGACGGUACCUAAUCAGAAAGCCACGGCUAACUACGUG